UGAGAAAUUAGAGAGAGUGCUUAGAUCUGGCCCUCCCAACUUAAUAUUCUUCAGAAUCUUGUUGUCUCCAUUUGUAUUUAUCUAAAUUUCCAUUUGUACAGAGGAAUCAACAAAUUGCAAAUGUAAUCUUCUGCUUUUAUUCUCUCGUACCAAUCUUUACAACUUUUGAUGGCGUCUAAAUGAGAUUCAGCCGCUUAAUUUUGCUUCAGUAUGAAGUUACUUGAGGGCUGAAUGAUAGACAAUGCAUCACUUCUUG
rnacentral:misc_RNA from 1 species